UGAAAAGUCAUUACAUUGGUCGUUAGGGCAAAUCUGGUGUGAGGGGGGGUUCACACCUAGCUCGGCUAUUAGACUGUUCUUUAGUAAAGGUUGAAUAGUCUAUUGUUCAGCUAUUAGCCCAACUUGCAACAAAUUGCUGUUCCUCUCUCAUUCCUUUCCCUCUUCCACGCGUCAUCAUUCUGCUCCGGAGUGGCUCGCUUUGUGGGCGUGCUGGCAGGAUAGCGCAGCGUCUUCAGUUGCGCGUCAAGAAUUCAGCAUACAGUAGCACGUUUGUAUGAAGAAAAGGAAGUCAAAGCGGACACCUACGAAGAUGGCAUCUCAGAGAGCGAGCAAAUUUACAGCCAUUUUCACUGGACUAUCUCUUGCUAAGUCAUGGGUUAGCCUUGCAAUAACCAAGUGAUGGUUGGGAGCCGGCAGCACCUGCAGAAAGACUUCUUCCUCUACAACGCUUCCAAGGCCAGUGCAAAUCCUACAUUAAUCUGCACGAGGUGAGCGAGCACUUCUGCCUGCCCCUUGGGGAGAACGUGAUCAUCCCUUCGACCCCCAUGAGGAGGGAAUUCACCCUAAGGGUCUUCUCUGAGAAGAACAACACCUCAGAGUAACUGUGAGGGGAGGGAGAGUGGGGUUAGGGAGUGUAUCUAUGAAUUAGUGUGCGAAUGUUUGGUUUCUGUGGGUGAACAUUUGUGUGUGUGAGUGGCAUGCCAGUCAAGAGUAGCAGUAAAAAUAAAGCGUCCAUGGCAGUAAAAAUGGCGUACGCUUCGAUCUCAAUCUUCUGCCACGGCGAUGAGAACACAAUUUGGUCAGACCAAAUAGAGGUUAGUAAAUUGACCUGCGUCUCCCUCACCUCCCAAUCUGUUGUCCAAAUUACCAUAUCCAUCUGUUAAUUUCUGUAUGUCUGUGUCUUUGUCCUCCACCUGCCAAAAAUACAUCACUCAAACUUGAAUGAAAAAUAGUCCCAUCACUGACAAUCUCAGUCUGUCUGUCUCUCUAUCUCAGUCUUUGGCUCUGUCUGUCAGACUGUCUGUCUCUAGCUUUUUCCUUUAACGAGUCCGACGAGAAAGAUAUACUGCUUUCCCGGGAAUAGGCCCAGAUACACGUCAUUUGCGUAAAGAAAAGAUGAAGGAAAGAGGACGCAGAUCAGGCUGCCUUUUGAGAAUGGGUAGACGAGCGAGUAAACACCCAUUGCCAUCAAUUCUACUUGCUAACAUGCAAUCAUUGGAAAAUAAAAUGGAUGACCCACAAUUAUGAUUAUCCUACCAACGGGACAUUAAGAAUUGUAAUAUCCUGUGUUCCAUCGAGUCGUGGCUGAACAACGACACGGACAAUAUAGAGCUGGAGGGAUUUUCAAUGCGCCGGCAGAACAGAGAAGCUAAGUAAGACGAGGGGUGGGGGUGUGUGUCUCGUUGUCAAUAACAGCUCGUGCGCGAUGUCUAAUAUUAAAGAAGUCUCAAGUUAUUGCUCGCCAGAGGUAGAGUACCUUAGCUGUAAGCUAAGCUCUAAGCUGUAGACCACACUAUCUACCAAGAGUUCUCAUCUAUAUUAUUUGUAGCCAUCUAUUUACCACCAUAGACCGAUAUUGGCACCUAGAGCGCACUUAACCAACUCUAUAAGGCCAAAAACAAAGAAUAAAGUGCUCACCCAGAAGCGGCGCUCCUAGUGGCCGGGGUCUUUAAUGCAAGGAAACUUAAAUCAGUUUUACCAAAUUUUUACCAGCAUGUCACAUGUGCAACCAGAGGGAUAAAAACUCUAGACCAACUUUACUCCACAUACAGAGAUGCAUACAAAGCUCUCCCCCGCCCUCCAUUUGGCAAAUCUGACCAUAAUUCUAUCCUUCUGAUUCCUGCUUACAAGCAAAAACUAAAGCAGGAAGUACCAGUGACUCGCUCAAUACGGAAGUGGUCAGAUGGCACGGAUGCUAUGCUACAGGACUGUUUUGCUAGCACAGACUGGAAUAUGUUCCGGGAUUCAUCUGUCACUCUGGUAUAAAGGAUUUGGAGACAGGCGCAGGAAUACAUCAUCUGGAAUUUGAAUACACCCAAAACAAACACGUAUACAAAACACUGGGAUGUGCCCAAACAAAAGAGCGAGGGUAAACCUCGUAGAAUGUCACGGUAUGAGACCCGUAAUACACAAAGCACAAAACACGCAGCACAGGCUGAAACAACGCAUAGGUACUCACACGACCAACGGACAUGGGAACAAUAAUCGACAGCCCAAUGGGGAAA